ACAAUUUUGUCCUCCGCCUUUCUGGAGAGUCGGCAGCCUUGGCCUUGCGGGGAGGGAUGCGCGGUGGGCAGCUGGACCGACAGAAAGAGCUUUCAGAUCUCAACGUGUUUGUCAACCGUGCACUUUCCUCAUCUUCAGACUCUAGGCUGGCAGCGAGUUUGGGGCGUUUUGGGGCGGCGGGGGGAGGGGAAGAGGGUGACAUCAAAUAGCCCUUGCAGAGAGAUAAUUCCGGAUUUGUGGUCUUGAUGAAAAGUAUUUAUUAUCUAACCUCCAAAUAUAGACCCCCUCCGAUCAGUACUGAUUGGGAUUCGCAGACAAGGUCGGGAGGCCCCUUUUGCUAACUGAGAAGCCUGUGAACCAUAUGAUAUACCCUCCAUCCUUUGCCCAUCUCCCCACCCUCCCAACCCCCAACUCCCUAACAAGGUGAUUUCCGAAAACUCAGCAACUCUGGUUUUGGAAACUUUCUCUUCUUGUGCAUUGCAUUUACUGGUUUUCCGGGUGCCCCCACACCCUCAUCCUGGUAAUUCUAUUUGGAUGGAUUGUUGGUUUAUUUAGGUUUACCCUCCCGAGGCUUUUAUUUAUGCCAGCGUUUGUGGUCCAAGCCUAGGCUUUCGGGAAAGGCAACCACGAGGGUGCAUGUGUUCGGUGUGCAGAUAUUUUCCCGAGAGUUGGCAGGCAUGGAAUAUUCUGUUCACUCGAGCCCCUGACUUCAGGCCCGUCUGUAAGAUGAGAGAAGAGAGGAAAUCCCUAAGUGAGGGGUUUGGGGGAGAAGAGGGUGAGGUCUGGGUGUUUCUUUUCCGUCUUCUGUUUUCCAAAGAGAGGCUGGCGGCCCCUCUCGCAUCCCCCCUCCCCCACCACUUUGCGUCCUGGCUCCUGGAGCUGCUUAGUUGUUGGAGCAAAGCGGGAAGAAACGUGUGUUUGUGUGUGGUGGGUGGGCGGAGGCUCUAAGGAGGUAGGGACUGUGUCUGCUGCGCAGUUUGUUAUAGGAUGUUGCAGUCCUCUUUUGCAUACUGGCAGUGACAAGUUCAGGCUUGUUCAUCUGACACAGUCCUGUGGUCACAACGAAUCUGUCUGAAGCUUUAACCAAUGGAGAAGGGUGUUGGAUGGAUCCUCUGAACACUCAGUGGGACUUCCUGAAAGAUUUAUUAGGAGAAAAACCUUCCUGGAAGCAGCAGCAGAACAAGCCCAGAGUGGCUGGGCUGGGCAGGAGCCUCCUGGCCUGAUCGCCACUGUUUGGGAGCAAUUACAUCCUGGAGAUAUCUGUGGGAUGGCCGUUGUGUACCAGACACUGCUCAAGAUUUUGGAUCUUCAGCAGUGAUCACAACAGAUACAGUACCAGUUCUAAAGGGGCUUAUUACUUAGUGGGGAGACAAGCAAACAUACACCAAAGUGUAAGGAAUAUGAAAGAAUAUGAAAUAGAAUAAUAUGGACGAGAGCUUGUUUGAGAUGAAGGGAUUCAUACUGAAAUGCUGCAUUUGAGUGAAGUAUGAAGAUUUUGGGGAAGUUAACCAAAGAAGGAGAAAAUCACAAAGAAAAAGGAAAAGGUUGAUAAAAAUGAAAAUAGUAAAGAAAAAAGGAAUAUCUAAGUUAAAAAAAAAAAGCUUUCAUAAUAAAGAAGAGUUCCCCAAAGUCAAUAACAAACCAAACAGCCUCAUAGCAAAGUGAGUAGAAGAUAUGAAUAAACAGUUCUCAAAAGAAAAAAGCAGAAUGGAAAAUAGAUGUGAAAAGAUUCUGAAUCUCCCUAAUAUAGCUGCGUGUGUUGAGGUCUGAUCUGUUGAUAGUAGAAACUACUUUUUUUUAGUAGGUAGUGGUAGGCAGUUCAAUAGAGGCACACAGCUCUGUAACAUCAUCUUGGAAUCAUUACCAUCAACCUCAGGAACAUCUCCAUCACCCCUCAAACAUCCCUCCUGCUUCUUUGUAGUCAGUCUCCUCCCUGGUCCCCAGCUUCUAACAACCACGAAUUUGCUUCCUGACCUCACGGUUUUGUCUUUUGCUUAUAAGUGGCAUCAUCCAGAAUGCAGUUUUUGAGUCUGGUUUCUCUCAUGCGCGUGAGCUCUUCCAUGUUGUCUGUGUCAGUCGUUUGGUGGAUUAGAUUGCAGAUGAGUGUCUUGUUCUCUGGAUAUCCCGCUGUUUCUUUACCCAUCUUCCACCAGGAGGGCACUUGAGUUGUUUCUGGGGCACAUUUCUCCCCGUGUUUCAAAAUGUCCCCGAAAUAGGAGGUCUGACUCGAGUCUUGAGAAGGCUGUGUGUGGCCUGGUGUCCCCUGACUCAGCUAGUGAAUGUGAGGUCACUUGAAAGACCAACUGGCAGCUUGCAAUGAAAUCGAAAACACACGUGCAGCCCCACACCUUGGUACAUUUGAGAAUUCACAGCUCAUGUUCUGUGUUAUUGAAGGAUACUUAGAGGUGGAUGUGAAUGUCUAAAAGAAAUGGAAGGAUCUAGAUCAAACUCACUCUCAUCCUCCUGGGAGAGAGAAGAGGAUGAGGCGGGUGGUGUGCUUUGUAGGGGAAGACUAUAGACACAUGUAUCACGUAUGCAUUUUGAAACUAUAUAGUAAGGAAAGCAGCCUGGGUACAUCCACGGCCGUGUGUUCAUGGUUGUAAAUUCAAGCUUCUUUGUUGUCCAGUCACUAAGUCAUGUCCGAGUCUAGAGACCCCAUGGACUGCAGCCUAUCAGGCUCCUCUAUCCAUGGAAUUCUCCAGGCAAGAAUACUGGAGUGGGUUGCCAUUUCCUCCUCCAGGGGAUCUUCCUCACCCAGGGUUCGAACCCCUGUCUCCUCUGUGUCCUGCAUUGCAGGCUCUUCUUUACCCAGUGAGCCAUUAGGGCUAGAUAUUACCCCAUAGUCCACUUAAGUCAUAAUUCAUUCAUUGGGGGCUAGGGUAGCCUUGGGAUCAUUCAACCAAUCAUCUCAGAGAUUUCGAGAAGAGAUCACUCCUAUCCUUGUCAUGUGUUGCUUCUUACAAAACGACAAUUGAUUGCAUUUGGUCCAAGAAACAAACCUGUGAGGUGAAGGCCACACUGACCCGGCCGGGUUGACACUCAGAGGACACCUCUGGUGGGGAUGGCAUCCUGCUCAUCAGCCUUGCAGGGCCGCCCUCCCCUCAGAGCACGGGGGGCGGGGGAGUAUGGGGGGGUCAGUAGAGAGAGAUGGUCUCCCAGAAGGGGCUCUCGAAGUAGGAGAGCUCCCCUUGGCCUUUGCUUGAGCCUCCAUUGUCUUCUCCCUAUGCCUCAAGGGUGGCCCCAGGCAGUAUCUCUUCCCUGUCAUUUGCCUGGACAAUCCAUACAUGCUUUCUCGAUUGCAAACAUUCCCCACAUACUUAGGGAUGCCAAAGGACGGGGGCGAUCACUGUGUCAGUCCUGGCAACGUGUGGAGGUGGUCUUGGCAGCCACGCCUUAGACAGCACCCUAUGAUCUUUGCGUUCUAUACCUGAGCAGUUGUGGACACCUUUGACCUGUGACUGUGCACUCUUUCCACUUUGGUCCAGCAGCCCGAUCUGACCUCACUGGCUCCAGAAUGCACUGCUCCCCCCCGCCCCCAAAGCAUCCGCCACCGGCCCCAGCUGUCUCCAUGCUUCCCCGCCUGCCUUCCUCCUGGCUUUCAAAAGGGCAAACUAGACCCUGAGACUCAGCGACUUAAAAGCUUUUAAUAGCUUCCCAUUAUGAGUUCGAGUACCUGCUGUAUUAUAGACCCUCUAUAGAUUGAAUUGCUGAGGGAUAUAGACCCAUGGAUCUGGGCUAAGGACCCCGCUCUCCCCAGCCCUUCAGGCUGAGUGCUUCCUGCCAGAUGGUUGCCUCUGCUUGGAGCAGAAGGAGGGCUUGUCUGAUCAGAGGCAGCUGGGGAAUGCGGGGUCUGCCUGAGGAAGGUUUGGAAUGAUGUGAUUCGUUUAGAGGAUGGGUGCGUGCGGAUUCGCUUCUGACAUCCGUGUCUCAUCCAGCUGGGGAAACGGGACAGGUUUCGGUUCCUUUCCGCACUUCAUCUCCAAACAAAAUCCUACUGAUGCUUUCUGACUGGGCUUAGGGGUCACCUCCUCCAGGAAGCACGCCUCCAUCCCCUCCCCGCACCCUGAGUUACGGCAGCUCACAUCCCGUUGUUUUGGGUUGCGGCCAUGGGUACCCAUCAGGGCUUGCAGACUCAGCUGCUUAGGAAGAUGAUCCAAUGAUAUAAAUGUACCAUGUGGACUCCAAGCAGCACAGGAGGACAUGCGGACUAGCCCACAACUGGUCCCCUCUCCAAACCCAGCAGCUGCUUUUUGAGUCCAGCUCCUUCCCAGCUCCCUGUUUCCCCCAGGCCACAGAGGAGAUUCAGCGUUGCCAGACCUUCUACUUGUGAAAGAGAAGCCAGGGAUUUUUUUUUUCUUUAAGUUCUAAUUUUCAAAUGUUUCAAUUUAGAUUUUUGAAGACCCCUCGCAGGUCAGACUAAUCACUUGAGGGCCAGCUGUGGCCCCCAAGCCAGCAGUUUGCAA